rnacentral:rRNA from 5 species
UGACCUCAGAUCAGGUAGGGAUACCCGCUGAACUUAAGCAUAUCAAUA